GAUGUUCCCGUACCAAUCAUGGGGAGGAAACUGGGGUAUAGCACUGAUGCCUCUGAAGAUGUUCCUUCAACAAUUAAUUAUUUUGACAGCAUGUCAAAACAAGAAGAAUCUCAAGAGAAUUUUGCACUCGCUUCUACAGCUUUCGCCACUCGAUCUGAACUGGAGAAAGAAGGAACUGAAAAACCAUCAGUCUUAGGCAUCGGCAAUGAAGAAGAGUGUACAUACAUAUCUAAGGUUGAACUUGUGCCAGUAUCGCCAAGAGGAAAUUCUUUUUCACAUUUCCAAUCCACUUUAGAACUUGAACAGGCUGAAGGAAUAGUGAGUGUACCGAGUAUAACUAGCUCACUGGCAAAUUACCCACGGUUUUCCAGUAUUUGCGGAAUGCCAUCUUUACAUCCGUCAGAAAAUAUAUCUUGGCCCAGUGGUAGAUUAUUGCUGGAGUUACCCCGUCAAAGAUUACCAUUACUUCUGUGUUCACAUUGUGUUAUUCCCCUUUGUGAUGGUAGAGUCAAAAACAUGGUGGACAUGGCACCAUCAUGUCCCCCCUCUGUUAGUGUUCCUGGAUUUCCAUCUGUGCCGAAAUGCAUGCUAAGUAUGGUUCAUCAUUUGCUUUCAUGUCCCUACAAUUCCCAGAUUCCAGGGUUACCCUCUGUGAGACCAGUGAUUGGAUAUAAGAAAUACGUCUGGGACACAGGUGCUCUGUGGAAUAAGCCAUUACUGACACAAAAAGUAUUUCCUUCACAGAUACAUAGUAUACAGGAAUACGCUUUAAAAGAUAUCAACAUGAUUAAACUCAUGGUGGCCAUAUUGCCAACAUGUUGUGCAAAGGCAUGUACUCCAGGGUUUCCGUCUGCACAACAACGGAAGGUUUCAGUGACUCCAAGUAUGACCAGCUUUCUACCUACAUGCCCCAAAUCGACGAUGGUUCCAGGUAUGCCAUGCCAACAAAUAGGUAAAAUAUGGAAUGAAAAGAUGCAUACCUGUAGGGAUUUCAUUUUCGAUAGACCAUUGAGAAAGAAUUUGGUUGUGGUACAGGAAAAGUCACAAAAGGACAGUGAACAUAUAAAGUAUAUGGCCAAUAUGUUGCCAUCUUGUCCCUGGAAGGCCACCAGCCCUGGGUUUCCUUCUGCCUUGCAAAAUGUUUCCAGUCGACAAGGUUUCCCAUCUACGCUGAGCCAACAUCCUAGUAUGGCUAAUUUUCUACCAACAUGCCCCAGUAAAACCAGAAUAUUUGGUUUCGCUUCUAAAGAGCCAGUCAGUGAUACUGAGGAGAAUUUCGAUGUGACUCUGCAUAUUUUAUUGGAAAAACCCUUCAUAGCACGUGAAGUGUUAAUUGAUGAAACCUUUCUAGGUGAUGCUGAAGAUCUACACAAAAAAGCCAUGUUUAGUUCAGAAGCAGGGUUGUCGUGUCACCAAAAGACUCUUGUUGGUUGGCCAACAGGACCAGAGAGAUCUUUACCAAGUAUUAGUCUUGUCUCUCUAUGUACUGAAGGGGCACAAAUUCCUGGUAUGACAUCUAAAGUUCCAAGCAUCUUAGAAAACAAAGACUGGCAUGCCCUGAAGACGUCAGUUAAGAAAAAAAUAGAGAAGACAACAAAUGCAGUCCUGGUUCAGGAGAUUCCAUGGAAAGACGAGGACCGUGUUGUGGACAUGAUGGAUAUGCUGCCAAGUUGCCCAGUGCAAGCCAAGGUUUUUGGGUUACCUUCAGCUCCACAAGAACCGCCCAGUAUGGUUAAUAUCAGACCCUCAUGCCCUCGACAUAGUAGAGUCGCUGGUUUGCCUUCAAGGAGACUCUGUUUUUUCAGCUGCAAGGAAUGGUUUGCCUAUAAAAGUUCAUGUUGGGAGAGGACACAGAGGAAACAAGACUUGCACAAAAUUGUAAAUGUAGUCUCUUGCUUUGAUUCAAAUAUUGCAUUAUUACCAUGUUGCCCAAAGAACUCGAGUAUACCUGGCUUCUCGUCUGCUCUGACGCAGACAUUAACUGAUCGCCCAAGUAUUGUGAAAUUGUUGCAGACUUGUACAAAGGAAUCCAAAAUUCCUGGUAUACCGUUGAAAGACCCAACUAAUCUGUUGGAGUGGGUAGUGGAAAGGAAGUCACUGCUUCUCCCCAGGAAGCCGUGUGCAACCCUGUUUCCUGUAGAGGCUAUUAGUGUGGUCAACUUUGAUGGUGAUAUGGUUACAACCAUGUGGUCCAUGUUGCCAUCUUGCCCACGGAAGGCACGCUUACCUGGGUUUCCAGCACUACUCCAUUGGAUGUUGGUAGAUAAACCAAGGAUGAUCAGUUUGCUGCCUACUUGUCCAACAAAAUCAAGAAUUUGUGGAAUGGCUUCUAUAAUUUCCAGUAAGUCAGAUGGAGCAGACUGGAAUCGGCACAAAAGGGCAAUAUGGGAAAAACCAUGUCCAGACCCAGAAAGACUUUCAGUAACACACACUCAAAAGAUAUAUUUAUGCAGUGAGGCAAUGGUGGAAAUAAUGGUGUCAAUGUUGCCGCCAUGUCCCAAACAUUGUAAUAUUUAUGGAUUUCCCUCUAAGUUGGGACAGAGACCAGCGCAGCCUUUGAUGAAAGAAGUCCCCAACAUGGUUACAUCAUUAGCUACUUUACCAAAACACAGUAAAGUUCCAGGUCUAUCUGCAAGGAACACUACAGCAGAAUGUGAUGCCUGGGAUGCUGCCAAAAAUGUAGUUUUGGGUAAUCCACUGAAAAGAAUACCCAGGAUUGUUUGUGAAGAGUUUGGAGUCGAAGAAAUACCAUAUCGUGAGAGGGAAAUAAUGCUAAGUAUACUUCCAUCAUGUCCAAGACAAGCUCUCAGUGCUGGAUUUCCAUCUGCUGAAAGACCUCAAGCAUUGAGUAGUGUAGCUGAAAAAAAUCCAAAUUUGGGACAGACAAGAGAUUCAUAUGAUUCUCUUGAAGGACUCAUUUGUCCAGAUGUUCUAAAGUCCAUAUCUGUCUCAAGAGAAACCAACAUAACUGGUUUUCCAUCUGUGACAUCCUCUGAGGAAGAUGCUUUGGAAGUAGGUACAACCAGUUCUUUCUCGUAUAGCACAAGCUAUUCCAGUGUUGGUGGCAUUCCAUCUUCAGAGAAGGUUGACAGAGGACAUGGGAGAUGUCCUCAACUAUCAUUGGAAAUACAGUCCUGUUUUAAGCUGUCCGACAGAGAGAUGUCUAUGAGGUUUACUUCCCCCAACGAAAAUGUACCAGAGAAUGUGAUCACUGAAACACCGUCCAGUCCUGUUGAGGCAAUCGUCACAAACAUUUCAUCAUCAGCUUCCGAAGUCCAAGUGGACCAGCCAUCACACCAUGAGACCAGUCCAGGCAAAUUAGAUUUCAGCAUAAAAGAAGCAGCCGAAUCCGAUGCCGCUUUGCCAUCAGAGAUGCGUACACAUGAAUACAGCUACUGGAUACCAAUUGAGGCUGAGCAAGUACCAGUCCCAGAAAAACGAGAUUUGCUUUGCGGAAUGUGGCAUUCCAUUCCUGAUAUGCCGUUAUAUUUAAGUGUGACAAAGAGUUGUUUCAGCUCCAUGGGUGAAAGUGAUCCUCGCGGAACAGAGCUGUCACUGUCUGAUUUGGGUGAUAUUGUUGGUAAAGAAGCAGCACCUGCUGACGUCAGUGAAACAGAUCACUAUUUGAAACCUUUAGAAAGGUCCAAAGAAGAUGAUUCCGUAGAGACAAUGUUACAACUCAGUAUGGGAAAAGAUGUCAUUACCAGGCCUCGUGGUGCUGUGGAUCAAGGGUGUGACAGACAUUCUGAGCCUGGACCUGAAAGCAAGGUUUCACCGCAUCAACCUUACUCAAUUAUCGAUGGUGCAGCAGGACUUCCAUCCAUCCAAACUAUUAACGCUGUGCAGCAGUUAGAAAAAUACCCUCCAGACAACAGAAUAUUUUCGGAAGAGGUACCAGAGAUGACUAUGAAAGUUACUCCAGAAAUACCAGAGGAAGAAAGGGAACAGAUAAAAAUAACGGUCAGUACAGCCCCGUCAUCCUCUGCUGCUGCAAGAACCUCAAGUCUCCAGUACACAACGUUACAUACUGACGACGGAAGGAAUGCAAGGACAGAAGAGAAUAUGAUAGAUUUAAUGCCAGUUUCCCCAAGAGGCACUGCAAUAUUUGAACUCUCUGCUCUUGAUGGACAGAUGAAUGACAGCUUAUUGGAAAGAGGGUCUACAGGGGUGAAGCUACCAAAAGAUGGUAGACUUACAACCACAGAAUGUGGUCCUCACUUAAGAGGCGAUGCAUUUCUAGAAGAACACAUUGAUACUAAAAAGUCAGACUACACACCAAAGGCAGAUGUUUCGGAAUUUGUGAGAUCUGUAACUGACCAAAAAGAGUUCACUUUAAUAGCUUGUCCCGUUGUGACGAGCAUAGCUGGCAUGCCCUCCUUAUUACCGAUAAAGGAAGAGAUACAUUGGCCCAAAGACCACCAAACACUCUAUGAGAGACAGCUAACAAUGAAAGAUGUAUUACUAGCAUGGGCACCAAAGGGUUAUGAAAAUAACGAGAAGAUGAUGCUUUCACUGGUAUCAUCUUGUCCAAGAGAAGCUAUAAAUCCGGGGUUUCCUUCUGUGUCACAGCACAGUUUAAUCUUUCAUGGACCAAAUAUGGUGGAUAUUUCUCCAUCUUGCCCGAUUGUGUCCAGCAUACCAGGGUUACCAUCUAUAAAGGAAACAAAUAAGAGGUCAUGGGUGCCACUUCAGGAAACCAUUUUGGAGAAGAAAAUGAAAGCAGAGCCUCUUGUCUUGGCAUUAUUACAUCAAGAAUACAAUGACUUUUCACAAAUGGUGUCUUUGGUACCAUCUUGUCCAAAACAUUCUUCUAUACCAGGCUUCCCCUCAAUUCCACAAUCCACUGGUAUAUUGUCUGAAAAGUCAAACAUGGUCAGCCUUUUAAGCUCUUGCCCCAAAACAUCUUGUGUCGAAGGUGUUCCUUCAUUGAUACAGCAUUUGAACAAAAGCUGGACAAGAAACUGCAAACUCUUAGGGGGGAAAUUGAAAAAGCCUACAGCCACAUUUGAGAUUAAUGAUGGUCUAGACAAUAAAGAAAUGGAAGCCAUGUUUGCUUUAGCCCCAACCUGUCCAAAAGAAGCUUGUAUUCCUGGAUUUCCAUCUAUUUUGGAAUCUGCAGUAACCUACCAUGGUAGUUCAGUCAGUCUCCUUCCAUGUUGUCCAUCUGUCUGCAGUAUUGCAGGGUUUCCAUCCAUGCAGAACACUGAUGGCAGAAACUGGACCAAGAGACAUCACCCAUUUUGGGAAAGGCCAAUAACAAAGAAGGCUAUAUUACUACUAGAGAACAAGAAAGUAGAUACAGACAUGAAGGGAGUGAUCUCUCUUGUAUCAUCUUGCCCAAGAGAAUCCUGCAUACAUGGUUUCCCUACUGUUCCAAAGUUACAAGUGUUUCAUGCUGUUGAUGUCCCAAGUAUGGUUCAUCUUUCAUGCUCAAAUGUCUCACAAAUAUCAGGUUUUCCAUCAUAUUUUAUUUCAAAAGAAUGGACACCAAGUCUGGAUCCACUACUUCAACCAAAGGUGAAAGGAACACCAGUGUCACUGAUUGACAAAUUUGAAAUGGAUAAGGAAGCAAUGAAAACUAUGGUUUUUCUUGUACCAUCUUGUCCAAAAAUAUCACGGACAUCAGGAUUCCCCUCUAUUCCAAAUCCCAAAAAUGUGUAUUAUGGGCCAAAUCUAAUCAGUCUUCUUCCAAUGUGCCCAAAAGCUUCUAAAAUACCUGGCCUCGCAACAUUAGGAAGGGAUGAGAGUGCAGGAUGGCCAGCAGGCAAGGAGGCAUUUUUUAAGAGACGACCAAAGAAGCCACUUGCAUUUGACACAUCAACUGAACACAAACAUUUGAUGAAGAAUAUGGUCCCAUGUGUACCAUCCUGUCCUAAAGCAGCAAUUAUGGCUGGCUUCCCAUCUGUUCCACAUCCCAAAGUUGUGUAUUUUGGACACAAUGUUGUCAACCUCCUUCCCUUGUGCCCUCUAUUUUCUUCCGUUGCUGGAUAUUCAUCAAUUAAUUGGGAUGGGACGCUAGAUUGGAUUUCUGGCCCCUAUGUAUUAGUACAUAGACCAUGUGAGAAGAAUCAAGUGGAAAUUUCAAACUCACCAGUUGCCGUGGAUGAUCCAAACAACAUGCUUUCUUUGGUUAAUUCUUGCUCAAGAGCACCAAAAAUUACAGGCUUUCCAUCGGUCUCUCGAUACAGUACUUUGAGUCUUCUACCUAUUUGUCCCAAAGUUUCCAGUCUUAUUGGGUUUGCAUCUUUUGAAGUAGGAGUAGAAUGCCAGUGGCUUUUUGCACCAACAGCUUUGUCCAGUAAGCUUAAGAAGGAGAUGUGUUGUAUGAUGGAGAGUCCAAAUCAAGAUAGAGAAACUGUGAAGAGAAUGUUUGCCUUAGCACCAUGCUGUCCAGAAAUGUCAAAGAUCUACGGGAUGUCCUAUACAUGCCGAACCAUAUACAAAACUGAACAAAUGAUAAGUUUUGUACCUUGCUGCCCCAGUGCAUCAAAUAUCAAUGGUAUUGCAUCACUUACAGAAGUCCAAAACCCAAGGUGGAUAACUGACCAAAAACCUCUGUUUAUACAUCGUCAUCAGAAGAGACCAGAAAUGGCCGUGACGCUUUCUGGGUGGAAUCAGCCUUAUUGCCACAACAGUAAAGGUAUGGCAACUUUGGUGUUGUCCUGCCCAAAAGAGGCCAACAUGUUCGGUUUUCCUUCUGCUCCCGUUUCAGACAGGCCACCGGACAUGGUCAGCCUAUAUGCGUCAGCCCCUUGUGUUUCACGUGUCUCCGGUUUUCCGUCAGCUAGGAUGCUUACCUUUGUGUGCAUGGAUCAACCGCCUAGAGCACCGAACCCUGAGUGUUUCUUUGAGAAGCAAGAAAAGGUUAAGAUUGCUGUCAUUGCAAACUAUCUUUCAAAACACCAAAUGGAAAUGGAAUGUAUGGUGGCAAUGGCACCAUCAUUAGCGCCAGUGACUCGAGUUUCUGGAUUCCCCAGCCUUUCACAAUUAAGCCCAACAGAAAACCAAACAGUGACUAUACAUUUGCCUUCUGGAAUGGAAAAGGGUAAAUCAGAAGAGUUACCUCAUGAAGAGACAACACUAUUAUGUGUUAAAGAUGCAAGAAUAUCAGAUUUGCCUUCUACAUCUGGUGAUAGUCCAAGCAUCGUGGUUGUACAUGAGGAGAAACUCCAGGUGGGUCUUGUAAAAAAUGUGGACCUUUCUAUAAAUAAUCGCAAAACACAGUUAGAGCCACUAGCAGCAGAGGAAGUCCAAACAGGGAAGAAACCACUGGACACACCAGUACCAGCGGGAGUCUUAGAUUGGGAAGUACUGGAGGCAGAGGAAGCAGUGGCAGAUAAACAGGCAGCGCCAACAAAGGAGGACACCUCAAGAUUAGUAAAGACUAUUGUUGGGGUGUUCCACAAGGGUUGUGCAACAGUCUCAUCUAUUUUGUGGCCAUCUAGCUCUGCUUUUAAUGAUGGUGAUCAGCUCCCCAAACCCGUCUCUUCUCGGACAUGAAAGAAAAGGCAGUUGGCUCUGCCGCCGGACGAACCUGUUCCACGUACUGCAGUCAACGAGGCUGUCGCACGGGAGAUAAUCCAUUUGGAACAUCACACUGAAUUUCCGACAAGUGCUGAGCCCUACAUGUGGGAGUUGUCCGAUAAUCGAUCAGCAUCUUCAUCGUCGAUAACAGACAGUGACGACGGAUUUUUGAUUUGUGCAAGCAUGAAGAAAUGGCCACCACUGACAGAGGCAGAUAUCACCGAAAUAUCCAAGGACUAUGUUGAAGGAGCAGAAGAACAACAAGCUACACUACAAGAGAGAACAGCCACUGGGGAUGAUUUAGUUGACACAUCAGUCGAUGCGGAAGGUCACUUAGUAAGGCGGUGGACUGAAGCAGAAGAACACGAUGUUAGAACAGUCCCGCAGUAUGAACACCUAGAAAAAGGCCCACAACAAACAAGUGUAGAAGAAAUUUCUGCUGCUGUCCUACAGCCUUCAUCAGAAGAGUCUCUGGAAGAUUACAGAAAACCAAGUGAGACCAUCUUGAAGGAACAGUCAGAUGAGGGCAUUGUUGGUUCGGUUGGACCACAAACUGUUUCUCCAGAAAGCAGAAAGCAAAAAAGAAACAUUCAGAGCCUCAACGGGAAAAGCGUGGUCAAGCAGGCAUUGUUCCCUUGCGGCCGCUGCGAAGGAAGGAGAGUCCAACCUUAGCCCACAAGGAAAAAUUUGAUGAUUGUGUCUAUCAGGCACCCUCAAGAUGUUAUCAGGUCCUGUCUGGAAAAGAAAGAAGCUCAUUCAACAGAGUAAAAAAAGUUCCAAUAUCUCAGGAGAUCCUGAAGCUUUGGAGAAUGUUGAUAAAUCUGUUCAAGCUCCCACUGUGGGUCCUACUUCCACACUUACAGGAAUAAUAGACCAGACAUUUGAACAACACUCACAGGAGCUGAUUUCAUUGACAAUGCAUCUAUACAGGUAGACAAGGAAGUUGUCUCUUCAAAGGAGGUGUUAAACCUCUUUUACAUCUGAAUGUCCCACGAAAAAUAAAGUGGUGAGAUACGUCUACCCAAUCCUUUGAUGGGCGCUUAUGGUCCCUCAAAAAGAAAGGAAGUCCCACAACCAAUUCAGAACCAGAACAAACUGCUGGUCUUUCAAUCUUCAGAACAAUAGGUCUUCACGAUAUAGCAAGAAAUUAUCUUCAAGCAAAUUUGGCACAACCUGGUAAAAACAAGGAAGUGGUAGUGCAAACCAGACAGAGAAGAAUUGGUGGAUGAUAUGGAGAUGAUAAAACAGUCAACUGGUGAGACAUCUAGUGAAAUAUGUGAUAACCAUCUCAGAAAUUGGAGCAUCCAACACCAGAUUCACAGACAAAAACAGAAACAUCUCCACCUAUCCCAAGGCCUCGUGUGAGGAAACGUCUGAGUGCUGGAUUCCCAGAUGACUUCACAGUUUCAGAGAGGACUAGUGAUCAGUUCAGACAGGUCCACCACGGAGAAGAUGGUCCACUAGUCAGUCAGGAUAGACUUUUAGUCACAACUCAAGAUUUGGAACUUGAACAACACAGCAAAAGUCUUGAACCUCUUGUUCUAAGUGAUGAGCCUGGUAGAACAGCAGAAGCUCUUGAACCAGUACAGCUGACCAUUGAGAGCAACGUUCAAGUAGAAGAUG